rnacentral:lncRNA from 1 species
UUUUUAUACGUCCGUCUUUUAGACGGGACGUAUUAUGGUAUACCGUUGUCCAUCCGUCCGUCCGUCUGUCCGUCCGUCGUCCACACUUCGGACAAUAACUCAAAAACACUUUCACCAAUUUCCAUGAAACUUAAGUGAAUUGUUUAUAUCUAUUGACGUAAGCUCCCUUUCGUUUUUUUUAAUUUCAGAUUUUAAGUUUUGGAUUUAUGGGGCUUUAUUCAUAAAAAAGGGGGGAUUUUCAACACUUCGGACAAUAACUCAAAAAGGCUUUCACCAAUGUCCAUGAAACUUUGGUGAAUUGUUUAUAUCUAUUGAUGUAAGCUCCCUUUUAAUUUUUAUAAAUUUCAGAUGUUAGGUUUUGGAUUAAUGGGGCUUUAUUCAUAAAAAAGGGGGAUUUUUAACACUUCGGACAAUAACUCAAAAAGGCUUUCACCAAUGUCAAUGAAACUUUGGUGAAUUGUUUAUAUUUAUUGAUGUAAGCUCCCUUUCAAUUUUUAUAAAUUUCAGAUUUUAAGUUUUGGAUUUAUGGGGCUUUAUUCAUAAAAAAAGAGGGAUUUUUAACACUU